CCUACGGGAGGCAGCAGUGGGGAAUAUUUGACAAUGGGCGGAAGCCUGAUCCAGCAACGCCGCGUGAGGGAUGACGGCCUUCGGGUUGUAAACCUCUUUCAGCGCCGACGAAGCGAGAGUGACGGUAGGCGCAGAAGAAGCACCGGCCAACUACGUGCCAGCAGCCGCGGUAAU
rnacentral:rRNA from 1 species